GACGAACGCUGGCGGCGUGCCUAAUACAUGCAAGUUGAGCGCUGAAGGUUGGUACUUGUACCGACUGGAUGAGCAGCGAACGGGUGAGUAACGCGUGGGGAAUCUGCCUUUGAGCGGGGGACAACAUUUGGAAACGAAUGCUAAUACCGCAUAAAAACUUUAAACACAAGUUUUAAGUUUGAAAGAUGCAAUUGCAUCACUCAAAGAUGAUCCCGCGUUGUAUUAGCUAGUUGGUGAGGUAAAGGCUCACCAAGGCGAUGAUACAUAGCCGACCUGAGAGGGUGAUCGGCCACAUUGGGACUGAGACACGGCCCAAACUCCUACGGGAGGCAGCAGGAGGGAAUCUUCGGCAAUGGACGAAAGUCUGACCGAGCAACGCCGCGGGAGUGAAGAAGGUUUUCGGAUCGUAAAACUCUGUUGGUAGAGAAGAACGUUGGUGAGAGUGGAAAGCUCAUCAAGUGACGGUAACUACCCAGAAAGGGACGGCUAACUACGUG
rnacentral:rRNA from 1 species